AUGCCUAUAUCUUCUGGAGCUGAGGGUAGAGUAGAUGUGGGGAUAGAUACAUCCAUAGCAUGGACACCAGUUGGGGUGAAGAAAGAGGCAAAACCGGUCAAGAACAGGGAUUCCUAUCUAAGAAGGUAUCUGGAAAGCCAGGCAGGGAAGAAAGAGCACAAUAGCACCAUUUUGGGGGAUACCAGUCAACACCUUGCUGGUCCAGAUGGAGAGAACAUGGACACUCUCUCACCCGGUGUGAGCAGAAAUCCUAACACGCAAAAGAAGAACGGAGGCAGUGAUGAAGGCAAAGCCUCAGGAAAACAAACCAACGAAAAGAGCUCGAAAAAAUCCCAAACAUGUACCCUUCUUUAG
rnacentral:lncRNA from 1 species